GUUUUUGAUUCUUUUGUACUAGGUAUCCUUGUUAGUCAUUCAAAUUUAUUGAAAGUUUUGAAACUUUCUUUCAAGUCCGAAGUCUAAUCUGAAUUUUCAUGGUGUCUCUGCCUUUGCACUUCUACAUUUCUGAAAAAUGCAAAAUAAAUAUACAAAAAAAGAAGUAUUUGAUGUGCUGUCUGUAACAUACAAUGAUUAAUCUGUUUGCUAAUGUACUAUUUCUAAUACUAUAGGUAUCAGAAAAGAAGGGAGUUAAACAUUUUUUUUCAGCUUGUACCAAUGGACAAGUAAAUAAAACCAGAAGAUGCUGAAAUAGGUGAAUGGUAUCAGGUGAUGAAGUGUUUUUCAAGAUUUUUAUAGCUAAUGGACAAGUUCUUCCAAUAUAUGCUCUGUAAACUAGUGCACAACGUGGUCCAUCUGCUUAUGGGGUUAUUUAAAGGUUCCAGUAAUGUUCCUGGUUCGGAUGAAAAGAAUGAUAAUCUUACAAAGUUACUUUGGCAUUUUGGGUUGGAAGGAUUGUUUUAAAACAUUCUUGCUUAUACUGAUUUCUUCAGAUCUGAUUUCCUUCUUAUUUUGUAUUGGACCAGUGGACUAUCAAAUUCUUGCUUUAAAUAAUGCUUGCUUAGUCUUCCUCUCAGCUGAAGCUGCCUAUAAGGCUGACAGAUAUGAUGUUAAAUUACUAAUGCAAGUAUGCAUUUUUCUUUUUGAGUGAUGAUAAGACCAAUUAAAAUCACAAUGUGAGAUGUGAGAUUGGGCUAGAACAGAAUGUAUGAUAGAUGCUUAGAACAGGGCUUCUGGAAAUGCUAUCAGUGUAAUUUUUUUUUUUUCAUUUUUUUAAUCUUGUUAAUAUUUCAGGAAUUAUGUGAACACUUAUGAAGAACAGCUAGCCUGUUCGAUGCAGAGAAACUUCAGGAGGAUCUAAUGAUUUUAUUUAGCACUCUGUGGGACUAUACAAAGAACCAUUUUGUCAUCCAGGGACGAACCAGACAUCACAACCUUAAGUACUUACUGAAGUAGUUACUGUAGCUGAUAUUAAUAAGGCGCAGAGAUUAACCCUGAAUCACAUAACGGAGAGCAGUUAACAACUGGAGGAGAUCUGCAGAUUAAAGAGUUAAAUCUGCAGAUAGUAGUUCAGUGGCACAAAUAGACUCCUUCAGCAGACAGCUAGUACAUUAUUGUAGCAUGGUGAAUAAUGCUAAAAUUGCAAACAUUGAAGUCUUAACACGACAGAAGGAAGAUUUCAAGAAUGUUCUAAUUUCCCAGUGGUGCAGCCACUUGUGAUUCCAUCCAUGCCUUCUUUAAAUGCUACACCACUUCUGAGCCAUCUAGCACAGAUGCGAUACUUGAUAGAGUGGUUCUACAAUUAUUUCUGUGAAGGAUUCCACAACCUGGCACCUAGCGCAAUUGUAUGGAGGCCUGUGGUUUGGAAUCAUCCAUCAUGUGAAUGCACGUUGCUCAAAGAAAUUACAUCCAGCAACUUUAGUGCUUGAGGUCCAUACUCUACACUUCUUGCUCUUCUCCUCAUAAUCUCAGAACAACUGUGAUGUAUUUAGGAUUCUGCAUGCGAUAAAGAAGUAAAAUGGUGUUGCCUGUGCUUUACCUUGCAUAUGUACACAUUCCACAAAAGAGGAUGGGGUAUGGAUGCAUGUUCUAUGAUAUUUUGAGAGUAGAAGAGUCAGGAGUCUCAAGUGAUCACACCACUGCAUAUAUAUACUUCUCAUUGUUUAUCACACCAAACUCCCACAAUGUUCCAUAAAUCUCUUUUUGAAAAGGGCCUCACGUUGUCUGUCUUUAGUUGGGAUUUUUCUUUGCCUGAUUUUUUUCAACAAUCCAUCUCUGUAGUCUUAAACUUUGACUGACAUGUAUGUUCUGGUUAGCAGUAUUUGUGGUAGAAUGUUUGGUGUAUUGUGUUUUUCAUAGUUUUCUGAUUUUGUUGAGCUGUGAGUGUGAAAAACUUCAAGUCCUCUUCAAAAUACAAUAGUAAAAACUGUUCUAUUUUUGUUACAAACCUUUAAACAUUUAUAAAAAUGUAGCCUGUUUUGAAGGCAAUCGAGACUGUGAUUUAAUCUAUUAAUUCUUAACCUGGGUUUAUGGGGUUGCAAAAGGGUCUUGGAGUUGACUGCAGAUGCCCUUUUUGCCUUUAUAGUUGGAUGGGAAUCUUGUUACUGUAAUACAAGGCCGUAGAACUGUUUUAUUCCAGUACAAGAAAGAAAUGACUAACAUAUGAAUAACAGCUACCAAUGGAACUAACCUUGAAGCAAGGUUAAAUAAGAUCAUUGACCUUUGGAACAAAACACAUUUCCAUUUGUCUCCGUACUGUUCUGAAACUACAGCUUUGAUAAUUUCAUCUGCUGAAGAUAAAGUGGUUCAGUUAGAAGAUUCUCAAGUAACGGUUUCAACAGUUAAGGACUCUUGCUAUGUUGAACCCGUUAAGGUAAAGAGUAUUUGUCAUUUGUUCAUAUUUCAAUUAUAUUUUAAGUAGUAGCAGAAGUGACAGGUGGUGUAGUGGAUGUUCUCUUUUAUACCUUUAUUCUAUUUAUUCUUAUACUAUUUACUCAGUAUUGCCUAUUCAAGAUCAUACCCUUUUAGAUGCAUGGAAAAGACCUGUAUUUGUAAUGGAGAAAAUGUAAUUGUAAAUUCAGAUAAUUUUUGUAUAAUUUACAAAUGUUGUUUAUAUAAAACCCAGGAUAAAUUGUAUAAAAUAGAAUCUGUAUUGUUCAUUUCUUUAAAUUCAAAGUUCAUACAGCAUUUUUUUAUUUGGACUUUAUUUCUAUAUAUAU